rnacentral:rRNA from 1 species
CGCAUCUGUGCAUGCAGCAUAUCAAUAAGCGGAGGAAAAGAAACUAACAAGGAUUCCCCUAGUAACGGCGAGUGAAGCGGGAAGAGCUCAAAUUUGAAAUCUUAAAGGGUUUCCCUUUACGAAUUGUAGUUUAAAGAAGUGUUUUCUGUUGAGGUUUUGGUAAAAGUUCUUUGGAAUAGGACAUCAUAGAGGGUGAGGAUCCCGUAUUUGACCUUUACUUUCAACUUUGUGAUACACUUUCAAAGAGUCGGAUUGUUUGGGAAUGCAGUCCAAAAUGGGUGGUAAAUUUCAUCUAAAGCUAAAUAUUGGCGAGAGACCGAUAGCGAACAAGUACCGUGAGGGAAAGAUGAAAAGAACUUUGAAAAGAGAGUUAAACAGUACGUGAAAUUGUCAAAAGGGAAGCGUUUGACACCAGUGUUGUUUUUCUGAAAAUCAAUUAAAGAACUGUUUAUGCUAAGCUGUUUAGACUUUAUCAGCUAAUCUGUUUAGUUUUGAGCUUUUCUUUAAUGCACUUUUCAGUUAACAAGUCAACAUCAAUUUCUUUUGCUGUAAAAAGCUUGAGGAAGGUGGCUUGAGAUUCGUCUUAAGUGUUUAUAGCCUCUUGCCUAUGCAGUCGGAGAGAUUGAGGUCUGCAGCGUAGAUCCUUCGGGGCUAAAUGCAUUUGUGCUAAGUUAUAGCAUUUUAUAGACAACUUGUUGACUAUGAUUUGUCUUGUAGCUUACUCGCUUAUGUUAUUUUACCUACGCUUAGGAUGUUGAGUCGUAGAGCACGCAG